AUACGUAGGUGGCAAGCGUUAUCCGGAUUUAUUGGGCGUAAAGCGAGCGCAGGCGGUUUUUUAAGUCUGAUGUGAAAGCCCUCGGCUUAACCGAGGAAGCGCAUCGGAAACUGGGAAACUUGAGUGCAGAAGAGGACAGUGGAACUCUAUGUGUAGCGGUGAAAUACGUAGAUGUAUGGAAGAACACCAGUGGCGAAGGCGGCUGUCUGGUCUGUAACUGACGCUGAGGCUCGAAAGCAUGGGUAGC
rnacentral:rRNA from 1 species